AGAGUUUGAUCAUGGCUCAGAAUGAACGUUGGCGGCGUGGAUUAGGCAUGCAAGUCGAGCGAGAAGCCUCCUUCGGGAGGUGGACAGCGGCGUAAGGGUGAGUAACGCGUGGAUUACCUGCCCCCGGGUCUGGGAUAGCGGUGGGAAACUGCCGGUAAUACCGGAUGAUCUCUACGAUGUUAAAGUCGUGGAGCAAAGGUGAGAUUCCGCCUGGGGAUGGUUCCGCGUCCUAUUAGCUUGUUGGUGAGGUAAUGGCUCACCAAGGCUACGAUGGGUAGCGGGCGUGAGAGCGUGGCCCGUCACACUGGGACUGAGACACUGCCCAGACACCUACGGGUGGCUGCAGUCGAGAAUCUUCGGCAAUGGGCGAAAGCCUGACCGAGCGACGCCGCGUGCGGGAUGAAGGCCUUCGGGUUGUAAACCGCUGUCGGAGGGGAGGAAAUGCAAGGGGGUUCUCCCCCUUGUUUGACCUAUCCUCGGAGGAAGUCCGGGCUAAGUUCGUGCCAGCAGCCGCGGUAAGACGAACCGGACAAACGUUAUUCGGAAUUACUGGGCUUAAAGGGUGCGUAGGCGGCACGAUAGGUGGGAUGUGAAAUCCCCCGGCUUAACCGGGGAACUGCGUUCCAAACCAUCGCGCUUGAGAGAGACAGAGGUGAGCGGAACUUGCAGUGGAGCGGUGAAAUGCGUUGAUAUUGCAAGGAACACCAGUGGCGAAGGCGGCUCACUGGGUCUCUUCUGACGCUGAGGCACGAA
rnacentral:rRNA from 1 species